rnacentral:rRNA from 1 species
CCUACGGGUGGCAGCAGUGGGGAAUAUUGGACAAUGGGCGAAAGCCUGAUCCAGCCAUGCCGCGUGUGUGAAGAAGGCCUUCGGGUUGUAAAGCACUUUCAGUGGGGAAGAAAGCUUUGGGGCUAAUACCCUCGAGGAAGGACAUCACCCACAGAAGAAGCACCGGCUAACUCCGUGCCAGCAGCCGCGGUAAUACGGAGGGUGCGAGCGUUAAUCGGAAUUACUGGGCGUAAAGCGCGCGUAGGCGGUCUGAUAAGCCGGUUGUGAAAGCCCCGGGCUCAACCUGGGAACGGCAUCCGGAACUGUCAGGCUAGAGUGCAGGAGAGGAAGGUAGAAUUCCCGGUGUAGCGGUGAAAUGCGUAGAGAUCGGGAGGAAUACCAGUGGCGAAGGCGGCCUUCUGGACUGACACUGACGCUGAGGUGCGAAAGCGUGGGUAGCAAACAGGAUUAGAUACCCUUGUAGUC